rnacentral:rRNA from 1 species
CAGUCGCCGCGGGAAUACAGAGGGUGCAAGCGUUAAUCGGAAUUACUGGGCGUAAAGCGCGCGUAGGUGGUUUGUUAAGUUGGAUGUGAAAUCCCCGGGCUCAACCUGGGAACUGCAUCCAAAACUGGCAAGCUAGAGUAUGGUAGAGGGUGGUGGAAUUUCCUGUGUAGCGGUGAAAUGCGUAGAUAUAGGAAGGAACACCAGUGGCGAAGGCGACCACCUGGACUGAUACUGACACUGAGGUGCGAAAGCGUGGGAGCAAACAGAAUUAGAUACCCCCGUAGUCCCUGUCUCUUAUACA